rnacentral:rRNA from 1 species
CCUACGGGCGGCAGCAGUGGGGGAUAUUGCACAAUGGGGGAAACCCUGAUGCAGCGACGCCGCGUGGGUGAAGAAGUAUUUCGGUAUGUAAAGCCCUAUCAGCAGGGAAGAAAGAAGACGGUACCUGACUAAGAAGCCCCGGCUAACUACGUGCCAGCAGCCGCGGUAAUCCGGAGGGGGCGAGCGUGAUCCGGAUUCACUGGGUGUAAGGGGAGCGUAGACGGCCGUGCAAGCCAGGAGUGAAAGCCCGGGGCCAAACCCCGGGACUGCCUUUGGAACUGUGCGGCUGGAGGGGGGGGGGGGGGGGGGGAAUUCCAGGGGUAGCGGUGAAAUGCGUAGAUAUCGGGAGGAAGACCGGCGGCGAAGGCGGCCUGCUGGACGGAGACUGACGUGGAGGCUCGAAAGCGUGGGGAGCGAACAGGAUUAGAUACCCCAGUAGUC